rnacentral:rRNA from 1 species
ACUCUUGUCGAUAGACCUUAUGGUGCUUGUCGAUAGACCAUGAAGAAAGCAGCUAGCUGCAACGAUUAGUGUGAUUUGUAGAACACAUUGGUCAUCGAUCACCUUGAAGCCCCGGGUUCCUCCUGAGGCUAUCACCUUUCUGAAGGUCUCUUGAAUGUCAAUUGCCCCAGGCCCUCCCUAGGGUGAAACUGGGAUGUCUCAAGGACCCCUUUCCCUUUGUCCACCUAAGGUCAGACCCCAAUCAGCACCGUCGCUGGAUCCAUUAACCUAAUGCAGAACGAGUUGCCGACACCUCCUGGCCUCACCGUUUCCCCACUCGUGGGGUCAAGAUAGCCAGGCGCACAGCAUGCACCUGAUGGUGUUGGUGGCAUAAUCACCCCACUGCAAAUUCCCCUACCACGGGGCAGCUGGCUGUGCCAUGUGUGGCUGUUUGUGGUUUGUGGUGUUCCACAGCUACACAGAGGUGCAGGCCUCACAACCAUGUCUAUCAGACAACCUCUCCCAGGCGUUUUCAGCGCAGAUGAGAAACUGUGCCAGAGAAACCAUGCUGGGGCAGCUCGCUACCAGCCCAGGCCCGAGGCUAGCCGCCCAAGAUUUAGCCCAACGACUUCAUCCUCAGAUCAAACAUGGUGACUCACUGAAUUGAAGUACCUCACUAAGCAGAGGUAAAGUAAUUAACCAGGAUUCCCUCAGUAAGGACAAAUGAAGAAAUCAGCACUGAAUCCAUGUCCAGCAGUAGGUGCAGACAAUAUGGCAUACAGAAGACCAACUCCCCAGCAUUGCUCAGGGGGCCCAUGUCCUUCUGUUUGGGUCCCACCGUGUGGAUGUUGUUAUGCAGAUAGAGGCACCCGGCACCCCAGGAUUGAGUCUUCUCUGGAAUGCAGUGCAAAGCAGGUUGAAGACUACAUCUAAGGCUAUGUAUGGCCACGAGACCGAUAGCCAAUAAGUACCAUAAGGGAAAGAUGGCAAUGAAGCAUCAGGCGCAUACCAAGCCACUGCUGGUACAGAAAGCCGCAGGGGUUAAAACAUGACAAGUAGGAGGGCUGUUGCACUGUGCACGUUAGUUCAAAGCAAGUGCCCGGGUGGAGCCACCAAAGGUGCAGAUCUUGGUGGAAGUAGCAAAUGUUAAAACAAGAACUUUGAAGGUCGUAGUGGAGGAAGGUGCCAUGUGAAAAGUUGUUGAACAUGGGUCAGUCAUUCCUAAGAGAUGGGCAAGCACCAAUCAGAAGGGACAGACAAUGGCCUCCAUUGCCCUCAGCCAAUCCAAAGGGAGUUGGGUUCAGAUCACUGAACCAGUGUGGUUUAGACAGGCACCCUUGCUGCAUAUAUUGCAGUAACACAAACAUUCCUGGAGAAUCCAUCAUGCGCUCUAGGGAGACAUAUUUUUUCUUUGUGAGGGGCAUGGCACUCUGGAAGGGGUUUGCCCGAGCCUUAGAUUGCAUCAUAGUUCGGGUGGCGUAUGAUGAGCUCUCGCUGGUCCUUGUUAAUCCAGGGGAGAAUUUGUAAAUCUUGCACAGGCCCAUACUCAUAUCUGCAGCAUGGCUCUGGCAUGUUAGAACAAUGUAGGUAAGUCGGCAAGUCAGAUCUGUAACUUCAGUAUGAGAAUUGGCUCUAAGGGUUGGGUGGGUUAGGCUAUUGCAUGUAGUGGGGCUGGCCGCGCACCACGGCUGGACAAGACAUUUCUAUUUACUAGGGUCUCCACCAACUGUGGACGCAGGUUGGACCCUUCCUGUGGAUUACCCCAGCUGGGGUGGUGGCCCCUGUCUGUUCCCCUCGCAGGGUUCUGUGUCGGCAUUCUGCCCCAGCCGAUGGCUAGCAAAUGACUUAGAACUGGUGCGGACCAAGGUAAUCGAACAGUUUCAUUGAAACAGGGCAUCACAAAGUCCUGCAGUGGGUAUUGACACAAUGUGAUUUCUGCCCAGUGCUCUGAAUGUCAAAGUGCAGAAAGUCAAUGUAGCGCAGGUAGACGGCAGGAGUAACUUUGACUCUCUUAAGGAGGCCAAAUUCUUUGCCAGCUCAUUGGUGGCACACAUGAAUGGAUGAACGGGAUUCCCACUGUCCCUACCUGCUAUCAAGUAAACCACAGCCUAGGGAAUGCGCUUGGCUGAAUCAGCAGCGAUAGGAGGCCCUGUUGAGCUUGACUGUGAGGGAACAUGAGAGGUGUAGAAUAGGAGGGAGGCACUCAGACCAGCAGUGAAAUACCGCUACUACAGUUAUCAUUUUUUCACUUACCCAGUGAGGCGGGGAGGGGGCAAGCCCCAUUGGGCUGUCAUGUCUAGCUCGAACCACCUGGCUCCAGCCAGGCAUGGCCCAUUCUGGGGACAUUGGCAAGUGGGGGGCUUGACUGGGGCAGUACACCUUUCCUACAAUAACACAGGUGUCCUAAGGCAAGCUCAGGGAGGACACACACCUGCCACUGAGACGAAGCACAAAAGCAUGCUGGAUCUCGAUUUUACGUAUGUAGAUAUACUGUGUAAGCAGGGCCUCGAGUUCCUUCUGACUUUUUAUGUUUCCAGCAGGUGUCUUACAAUUACCACAGUGAUAACUGUCUUGUGGCGGCAAAGCAUUCAUAGGGACUUUCCAUUUUUAUCCUUCCAUGUCAGCUCUUCAUAUCAUUGCGAAGCAGAAUUCAGCAAAUGUUAGAUUGUUCACCUACUAAUAGGGAACCUGAGCUGGAUGUAUUCCAUAAUGUGACAGAUUAGUUCUACCCUACUGGUAAUUUGUUGUUACAAUAAUAGUGCUUAGAGGAACCACAUCGUAAGACAUUUGAUGUAUUUGCUUGGCUUAGGAGCCAAUGGGGUGAAGCAAAGUGGCGUCUCAGUUACCCUAACAUAGCCAGCCUCUGGGCUGCUGCAUCGUGCUACUGGCCCCA